rnacentral:tRNA from 1 species
AAGAAUAUAGCUAUAUUUAAGUAACAGAUUCUUACUCUGUAGAAGGUUUUAUAACCUGUUCUUA